GUCCUUUUGGUAUUUAUUUAAGGUCUAACCUGCCCGAUGAUUUUCAAUGGCCGCGGUAAUUUGACCGUGCAAAGGUAGCAUAAUCACUUGUCUCUUAAUUGGAGGCUAGAAUGAAUGGUUGGACGAGAUUUAUACUUUCUUUUUUAUAGUUUAUUGAAUUUAAUUUUUUAGUUAAAAAGCUUAAAUUUUUUUAUAGGACGAGAAGACCCUAUAGAAUUUUAUAUUGGAAUAAUUUUAGUGUAUUUGGUUUAUUAUUUUCUCUUUUUUUAUUUCAGUAUUUUGUUGGGGCGACAGGAAGAUUUUUUUAACUCUUUUUAUUUUUUUUCAUUGAUUUAUGUUUUUUUUGAUCCUUUAUUAAAGAUUAUAAGAUUAAAUUACCUUAGGGAUAACAGCGUAAUUCUUUUGGAGAGUUCUUAUCGAUAAAAGAGUUUGCGA
rnacentral:rRNA from 1 species